rnacentral:rRNA from 1 species
AGCAGCCGCCGCGGUAAUACGUAGGGUGCGAGCGUUAACCGGAAUUACUGGGCGUAAAGCGUGCGCAGGCGGUCUGUUAAGGCCGAUGUGAAAUCCCCGGGCUUAACCUGGGAACUGCAUUGGUGACUGGCAGGCUAGAGUAUGGCAGAGGGGGGUAGAAUUCCACGUGUAGCAGUGAAAUGCGUAGAGAUGUGGAGGAAUACCGAUGGCGAAGGCAGCCCCCUGGGCCAAUACUGACGCUAAUGCACGAAAGCGAGGGGAGCAAACAGGAUUAGAUACCCCAGUAGUCCCUGUCUCUUAUAA